rnacentral:rRNA from 1 species
CCCGUAAACCCCUGUCAUUUGCGAACAAAUUGUCUCAACCUAACACGUGGUAGCGAUUGAUAGUAGCGAAAGAGGAAGGACGGCCUAACUCUGUGC